GCGAAGCUGAUCCAGCCAUGCCGCGUGUGUGAAGAAGGCCUUCGGGUUGUAAAGCACUUUCAGCGAGGAAGAACGCCUUGGGAUUAAUACUCCCGAGGAAAGACAUCACUCGCAGAAGAAGCACCGGCUAACUCCGUGCCAGCAGCCGCGGUAAUACGGAGGGUGCAAGCGUUAAUCGGAAUUACUGGGCGUAAAGCGCGCGUAGGUGGCUAAGUCAGCCAGGUGUGAAAGCCCCGGGCUCAACCUGGGAACGGCAUCUGGAACUGCUUGGCUAGAGUGCAGGAGAGGAAGGUAGAAUUCCCGGUGUAGCGGUGAAAUGCGUAGAGAUCGGGAGGAAUACCAGUGGCGAAGGCGGCCUUCUGGACUGACACUGACACUGAGGUGCGAAAGCGUGGGUAGCAAACAGGAUUAGAUACCCUGGUAGUCCACGCCGUAAACGAUGUCAACUAGCCGUUGGGUCCCUUGAGGACUUAGUGGCGCAGCUAACGCAAUAAGUUGACCGCCUGGGGAGUACGGCCGCAAGGUUAAAACUCAAAUG
rnacentral:rRNA from 1 species